rnacentral:rRNA from 1 species
CCUACGGGAGGCAGCAGUGAGGAAUAUUGGUCAAUGGGCGGAAGCCUGAACCAGCCAAGUCGCGUGAGGGAAUAAGGCCCUACGGGUCGUAAACCUCUUUUGCCGGGGAGCAAGGGCGGGGACGUGUCCCGGUCCGGAGAGUACCCGGAGAAAAAGCAUCGGCUAACUCCGUGCCAGCAGCCGCGGUAAUACGGAGGAUGCGAGCGUUAUCCGGAUUUAUUGGGUUUAAAGGGUGCGUAGGCGGGCUUUUAAGUCAGCGGUAAAAAUUCGGGGCUCAACCCCGUCCGGCCGUUGAAACUGGGGGCCUUGAGUGGGCGAGAGGAAGGCGGAAUGCGUGGUGUAGCGGUGAAAUGCAUAGAUAUCACGCAGAACCCCGAUUGCGAAGGCAGCCUUCCGGCGCCCUACUGACGCUGAGGCACGAAAGUGCGGGGAUCGAACAGGAUUAGAUACCCGAGUAGUC